rnacentral:rRNA from 1 species
ACGUAGGUGGCAAGCGUUGUCCGGAAUUACUGGGCGUAAAGCGAGCGCAGGCGGUUCUGUAAGUCAGAUGUGAAAUCCCCGGGCUCAACCUGGGAACUGCGUUUGUGACUGCACGGCUAGAGUACGGCAGAGGGGGGUGGAAUUCCACGUGUAGCAGUGAAAUGCGUAGAUAUGUGGAGGAACACCGAUGGCGAAGGCAGCCCCCUGGGCCGAUACUGACGCUCAUGCACGAAAGCGUGGGGAGCAAACAGGA